rnacentral:lncRNA from 1 species
AAGUGGUCUUUCUUUACUAAUUAGUUAUGUGCAAUUAUUAUGCUACAGCGACAGCUACUCCCAUACUCAACCCCAGGACGACGACUUCACUGAUUUUUUGAAUUGGCGUUCUUAUCCCCACAAUCGCUUUUGGGAUACAAGUCUUUGAAGCCAUUUCAAACAUGCAGCAAGUACAAUGGAUUCAAGACUUGUCAAUUCUUGAUUCUCGAGGCAUUUUCUCCAUCUCUUUCUACUCUGGAAAAGCAUGGACACUUUAAGUUGAUCAUAUCAUAACAUUUCUUCUGCCGAAAUCGUUAACUUAUCACGGAUUUGGCUCUUCAUUUCCUGCUCCAGUCGAACCAUGUUCUUCUCACGCCUGGCUCUAGUUUCUCUAACAAUAUUAAUUUGUUCGGUGAAUCUUGGCCGCGCUGCGACUUUGGCCCCUGAUGAAGGUACAAUACAAUAUUCUGCUGGUUCUUGCUUCUUUUUUUUUUUUUUUUCCUCCCCCUGGAAGAAAGUAGUAAUUUUUCAUUUAAAUUUUUUUUGCAGUGGAUGCAUUGAAGCAAAUAGGAAGAACAUUAGGGAAGAUCUGGAAUUUUAAUGUGGAUCCUUGCAGUGAAGGAGGGAAUUGGAGUACCCCUAAUGCACCUAAAGGAUCUGAGAAUGGAGUAACCUGUGAUUGCACUUAUGUUAAUAACACCAUUUGCCAUGUAGUCGGCAUGUAAGUAUAUAUUAAUUUCUUCUCAAUGCAUAAUCAUAUUAAAGGAUCGUGUGAUAUUGCUUAAAAUUGAUUAAAGCUCAUGGAUCCCAUUAGAUUUGUUGGGAAAAAGUGGAUAAAAGUUAUGAAUCCAAUAAAUGUAUUAUUAAAACUAUUCUUCGAUUAUUUUUAUCUUAAAGCAUGUGUUGCACUUUGAGAGAGAAAAGUUGAAUUUUCGUAUAUCAACGUGACAUCUCAUUGUAGGUCGAGUUGAAUUUUUUAGAUUUAAAUUCCAAGCAAUAUGACUGGUAAGUAGGGUGUACAUAAAUUUAAGGUUAACGAUAUCAGUGAUGACAAUUUUAUGUUUUAUAAAGAAAAUAAUAAUUUUGUCCUCCAUCUUUAGAUCUCAAUCUUAUGUUGAGAUUUGCCGUCCAAAAUUGAUUGUCUAACUUGCUGUCCAACCAAUAAUUUAUUGACACAUUAUUUUACACCUAUUUUUAAGCACAAAUAGUCACGAGAGAAAAGUUGAAUGUGUUAAUUUGAAGUGAUGUAUCAAUGAAUUAUUAGGUGAGGACAAUCAAUUUUGGACAACAAAUCUCGACUCCUUAAUCCUAUCGCGAAAUUUUGUCCGCCACAUUAAAGUAAUUAAAUAUUGAAGGAAAAAAUAUGAAUGCGCACUUAGAAACUAUUAAUAUCGAGUCAAUACAUGUCACAAGGAAAAAAAAUUGUGAAAAUUGAAAUUAUGCCACGAGAAUCAAAAAAUAUGAAGCACCUGGUUACAAUCAUAGUUUUAAAAGCCAAUCAUGACCAGUCAAGUUAGCUCAAACAAUUAAUUUUAUCGUUUUGAAAGAGAACUGAUUAUAACCCAUCCAAAACUAACUUUUUCAAUUGAAUAGCUAGUCGAGUAAUGCAAUCUAGGCGACAAUAAAUUAUGAGUAAGAUAAAAGCAUCUCUUCUUCUAACCUUGUGCUCUGAAAUGCAGUGUUCUGAAAUCUCAGUCUCUUCCAGGGACUGUACCCCGAGAACUGGUCAGACUCCCUUACCUCCAAAUAAUGUAAGUUCACUUCACUCCUUUUUAUUACAGAAAACACACACAAUACAGUACAGUUAACUAACUUAACUGUCAAUAUAUUUGAAUGUCAUUUUACACAGAGACCUCUCUCGCAACUACCUCAACGGCACCAUCCCUAGAGAAUGGGGUACCAUGCAACAACUUUCUAACAUGUACGACACUCUUCAGCUCCCAUUUCUUUCUGUAAUUCAUAUUUUCUUUAUGUGUAUAUCUGUAAAGCAAUUCUUGGGCUAUAGUACUAACAUAAUUUUGGUUCACUGCAGUUCCCUCCUGGGAAAUCGUAUUACAGGUCCACUACCUGGCGAAAUUGCCAACAUCAGUACUCUCU